AUGUGUGUUCCAAAAGAUGAAGGAGGUAUGGGCUUCCAAGAUGUGCAUUGUUUCAAUCUGGCAUUGUUAGCUAAACAAGUGUGCCAUCUUCUUGAUAAUCCUGAUUCUUUAUGUGCCACUAUCUUGAGAGCUAAAUAUUUCGCUAAGGGCGAUUUGAUGAAUGCCAGUUUAAAGAAGGGAUCCUCUUUUACUUGGCAAAGCAUCAUGGCGGGAGUCAACUCCUUGAGAAAUGGUUAUAUUUGGCGGGUUGAAAAUGGAUAA
rnacentral:rRNA from 1 species